rnacentral:rRNA from 1 species
AACGAACGCUGGCGGCAUGCCUAACACAUGCGAGUCGAACGGGACCUUCGGGUCUUGUGGCGGACGGCGAGUUGCGAACGGGGGAGUAACACUUAGGUUCGGAAUCACUCCCCGAGAGGGGUGCUAAGAAAGCAGGAUGUAUUCCGACCAAGGAUUUCUCGCGUUAGGGUGGGGCCUCGUUGGAUUAGGCGGUUGGUAGGGUAAAAGCCUACCAAGGCGACGAUCCAUACCUGGUCUGAGAGGAUGAUCAGCCACACUGGGACUGAGACACGGCCCAGACUCCUAGGCGAGGCAGCAGUGGGGAAUAUAGGACAAUGGACGAUGGCCUGAUCCCGCAAUGCCGCGUGAGUGAUGAUGUCCUUAGGGUUGUAAUUCUCUCUUACACGGGAUGAGAAUGACGGUACCGGGAGAAUAAGCUCCGGCUAACUCCGUG